rnacentral:tRNA from 10 species
CGGGGUGUAGCGCAGCCCGGUAGCGCGCUUGCUUUGGGAGCAAGAUGUCGGGGGUUCGAAUCCCUCCACCCCGACCA